rnacentral:lncRNA from 1 species
AUGGCCCUAGUCCCAGGCCCUGUGAGGGGCAGCCUGGACGGCGACAUCAACCUGGGGCCCGCCUCUCUGCCGUGGGGACGACUCCAGCACCUUGACAGUUCCGUCACGUCGGCCCGGCCCUGGCAGCCCGAGGGCAGCAAGAAGGAAGCCGCCAGGAGGAGACCGGGAUUCCCCACCGUCAGCGGUCUCCAGCGUCUGUGCGGGACCAGAAGUCAGUUGGUGACCUUUGUGAGCUGCCUGCCCAACCGAGAGGAGUCUCCCCACUUUCCCUUGUUACUGCCACUUUACAACAACUAGAUGACCAAGCACCUGCACUGAAGAGUCUUUUUUUUUUUUUCUUUAACUUCUUGUUCGAUCUGACUAAAAGAAAUGAGAACCUAAAUAACAUCUAGGUCAUACUUUUCGAACCUCCUUGUUCCUCAAAUGUGGCAGUGAGACUCAACCAGAAUGUUUGUUGAACAUAACAGGUUAUCAGCCAACUAUAAAAUUCCCCUCUGAGCGGCAUGAUGGACCCAAAGCAGGCUGCCAAUCACUCCCACAAUGAAAUGGGACUAUACAGUCAUAAAAUUGGUCAUCCAUGCUUUCCUGCCAGAAAGAUCUCAACCAAGAGGAUAAAAUGUGAAAGGAGAAUCAAAAUGGAGUAAGCACUGCUAGUGGAAUCACUCAAAACAGAGUCAGAAGGACAUUGAGGAAGUAGGGCCUAUGCAAGUCUCCUGUUUCUUGGAACAUUGUGAACUUUUGACUUUUGUCAGUUGCAAACUUAGCCACCUCCUGGAAUACAUCCUUCUAUUCUGGACUAAAACAGAGAUAAUGCAACGCCUGUUUGCCAACUCGCCAACCAUCUAUUAGAUAGAUUAAACUCUGCCAGCACCAAUCAUAAUUCUUUCAAAAUGACAUGUAACUUUGUGGUUUUUGCUUUUAUAAACCUGCACUCCCUCCUGGCAAUUUGGAGCAUGCUUUUGAUUUUGGUUGACUGUGUCUUCUGGAUUGUAAUCUCUAAGCCCCCAAAUAAAUGCUCUUGCGUUUAUCAGCCUCAUUGUCUUCGUGGUCAACACUGCAUGAGGUGAAAUAUUGGGUCACCCUGAAGCAGGAAUAUAAAUAUGGGUAUAUUUCUGUGGUUCCCACAUAUCUCCUCUGUAUAUCCAAAAAAUUUUUUUUUAAUUUUAUUUAUUUAUGAUAGUCACAUAGAGAGAGAGAGAGAGAGAGGCAGAGACAUAGGCAGAGGGAGAAGCAGGCUCCACGCACCGGGAGCCUGACGUGGGAUUCGAUCCGGGGUCUACCAGGAUCGCGCCCUGGGCCAAAGGCAGGCGCCAAACCGCU